CAAUAGCGUAUAUUAAAGUUGUUGCAGUUAAAAAGCUCGUAGUUGGAUCUGUGGUGUGCGGUGGGCUCCGGGCACUUGUUGUCUGAGUAGCUCGCCGCUGCCAUCCUUGGGUGGAACCUGUGUGGCAUUAGGUUGUCGUGCAGGGGAUGCCCAUCGUUUACUGUGAAAAAAUUAGAGUGUUCAAAGCAGGCUUAUGCCGUUGAAUAUAUUAGCAUGGAAUAAUGAGAUAGGACUUUUUCGCUAUUUUGUUGGUUUGCGCGAAGAGGUAAUGAUUAAUAGGGACAGUUGGGGGUAUUCGUAUUCCAUUGUCAGAGGUGAAAUUCUUGGAUUUUUGGACGACGAACUACUGCGAAAGCAUUUACCAAGGAUGUUUUCAUUAA
rnacentral:rRNA from 1 species